AGUUUGAUUCUGGCUCAGGAUGAACGCUAGCUACAGGCUUAACACAUGCAAGUCGAGGGGCAGCAUGAUCAAAGCUUGCUUGAUGAUGGCGACCGGCGCACGGGUGAGUAACGCGUAUCCAACCUUCCCUAUAGUAGUGGAUAGCCCGGCGAAAGUCGGAUUAAUACACUAUGUUAUUCAACGAGGACAUCUGAAAUGAAUCAAAGGCUUGCCGCUAUAGGAUGGGGAUGCGUCUGAUUAGAUAGUAGGCGGGGUAACGGCCCACCUAGUCGACGAUCAGUAGGGGUUCUGAGAGGAAGGUCCCCCACAUUGGAACUGAGACACGGUCCAAACUCCUACGGGAGGCAGCAGUGAGGAAUAUUGGUCAAUGGGCGCGAGCCUGAACCAGCCAAGUAAGCGUGCAGGAUGACGGCCCUAUGGGUUGUAAACUGCUUUUAUCGGGGGAUAAAGUCACCCACGUGUGGGUGUUUGUAGGUACCCGAUGAAUAAGGACCGGCUAAUUCCGUGCCAGCCGCCGC
rnacentral:rRNA from 1 species